AGAACGAACGCUGGCGGCAUGCCUAAUACAUGCAAGUCGAACGAACUCUUCGGAGUUAGUGGCGCACGGGUGCGUAACGCGUGGGAAUCUGCCCUUGGGUUCGGAAUAACAGUUGGAAACGACUGCUAAUACCGGAUGAUGACGAAAGUCCAAAGAUUUAUCGCCCAGGGAUGAGCCCGCGUAGGAUUAGCUAGUUGGGUGAGGUAAAGGCUCACCAAGGCGACGAUCCUUAGCUGGUCUGAGAGGAUGAUCAGCCACACUGGGACUGAGACACGGCCCAGACUCCGUACGGGAGGCCAGCAGUAGGGGAAUAGUAGGACAAGUGGGACGAAAGCCUGAUACCAGCAAUGCCGCGUGAGUGAUGAGGCCGUUAGGUUGAAAGUCUUCUUUACCCGAGUAU
rnacentral:rRNA from 1 species